rnacentral:rRNA from 1 species
CCCAGGCUUGGACUGCGAGUGAUCACUCCUGAAAGGGGGCUUCCGCAAGGACACUCGUAGAGGUGCUGCAUGGCUGUCGUCAGCUCGUGUCGUGAGAUGUUGGGUUAAGUCCCGCAACGAGCGCAACCCUUGUUUGCUGUUGCCAUCAGGUUAUGCUGGGCACUCUGCAAAGACUGCCGGUGAUAAACCGGAGGAAGGUGGGGAUGACGUCAAGUCAGCAUGGCCUUUAUGUCUGGGGCUACACACGUGCUACAAUGGCCGAUACGAACCGUCGCAAAGCCGCAAGGUGGAGCUAAUCGGAGAAAGUCGGUCUCAGUUCGGAUAGCAGGCUGCAACUCGCCUGCUUGAAGUUGGAAUCGCUAGUAAUCGCGGAUCAGCACGCCGCGGUGAAUACGUUCCCGGGCCUUGUACACACCGCCCGUCACAUCACGAAAGCCGGUUGUACUAGAAGUCGCCAUACCAACCCGCAAGGGAGAGAGGCGCCUAAGGUAUGGUCGGUGAUUGGGGUGAAGUCGUAACAAGGUAACC